GUAGGUGAACCUGCGGAAGGAUCAUUAUCACGUAUCCACGUAUAAACCAUUGUGAACCGUUUUUAACCUCUGCAAAACCAGUUUGCCAUGAAUGUAAAAAGUUUGUGACAACUGGCUAGUAACAGAGCGUAUUAAUCUAUUAACCAUUUUAACCAAUCUUUAUAACUUUAUGAACUAACUUUAUUUUAUACUCUUCGGAGAUAAAAUUCAUUACGAAACAAAGAACAACUCUUAGCAACGGAUAUCUUGGUUCUC
rnacentral:misc_RNA from 1 species